UGGCUCAGUUGUUAAGAGCACUGGCUGCUCUUCCAGAGGUCCUGGGUUCAAUUCCCAG
rnacentral:tRNA from 1 species